UCGAAGGAGUGGCGAACGGGUGAGUAAUACAUAAGCAACCUACCCACGAAGACUGGGAUAAUCUCUGGAAACGGGGACUAAUACCGGAUAGGUAAUCGGAAGGCAUCUUCUGGUUAUUAAAGGUUAAAAACACUGGUGGAUGGGCUUAUGGCGCAUUAGUUAGUUGGUGAGGUAACGGCCCACCAAGACGAUGAUGCGUAGCCGGCCUGAGAGGGUGAACGGCCACAUUGGGACUGAGACACGGCCCAGACUCCUACGGGAGGCAGCAGCA
rnacentral:rRNA from 1 species